rnacentral:lncRNA from 1 species
CCUCGGACGACUUGGCGCUCCGGGACAGCAGCAGACGCCCAAGCUCCGGCAGCGCAGAGCCCCGCCGGGGGCCCGGGGGGCUGGGAGCCGGGGAUCGCGGGGACGGAAGUGGGGGACCGAGUCUCGCGAGCCCGGGCCCUCCUCGCAGCUGGGGCCCCACUGGCGCCCCCGCGGGAGCGCUACGGGAGAGGCGCCUAUGCGGCUGCAGGUUUUAUUAUGGAGCUGUCAAGGUAGAAAGAGUUUGACUCUUCCACAAUAAUUUGGCACCCAGCGUGGGGCCUCAGAGAAGACUCAGGACCCCAAAGGAGUUGCCUGAACUCGGAGCGAAGAUA